AGUCCUCAAUUUUGUGAUAAAUAUUGAUAAUUCUUUGUUACGUAUGAUUACAUUGAGAGAAUUUGGUUGGGGGUUCGAUAUUUUACGGUUUCAGAAAUAUAAGUAUUUUGUAUUAUUGUAGAUACAGAGAAUAUAUUAGAUUUGAGAAUCUUGAAUCGGGGCAUUGAGUUGGGUGAUGGAGGGGGUACGUAAAUGGGAAGCAGGAACCCCAGGCAGAUUAUGGCCUCCGAAAUUUUCCAGAAAGAAACGUGAGUUUUUUUUCAUCGGCGGCGGGUCGAUCAAAAUCCUCAUCAUCCAGAUUUUCCAUUUUCUUACAUCCGUUUCUUUUUCUCUAUUUUUACUUUUUUUUCGUAGUAU
rnacentral:lncRNA from 1 species